UACGAAGGGGGCUAGCGUUGCUCGGAAUCACUGGGCGUAAAGCGCACGUAGGCGGCUUUUUAAGUCAGGGGUGAAAUCCUGGAGCUCAACUCCAGAACUGCCUUUGAAACUAGGUAGCUAGAAUCUUGGAGAGGUCAGUGGAAUUCCGAGUGUAGAGGUGAAAUUCGUAGAUAUUCGGAAGAACACCAGUGGCGAAGGCGACUGACUGGACAAGUAUUGACGCUGAGGUGCGAAAGCGUGGGGAGCAAACAGG
rnacentral:rRNA from 1 species